UUUUCUAUUGAAGGAUGCUAUGCGUGGAACACCAGUUAUGUCCCAAGUAUGGCCUCGCCCUUUGCUGUUGAACUCGCAUCAAGCUAGCUUGCAAAAGUUUCAAGGCACUGCCCCGUUCUUUGGGGCUCCGCCGGUCAUGGCAACCGGGAACCUGCCCAUGGUGAUGCCGAGCCCUGCAACGCUUGUGCAGCCAUUCCAGGCCAUUCAUCCAAUCAUGGUUCCUUCGGCGACCAGUAUGUAUCCAGGCAAAUACAUGUAAACUUGUCAUACCGCUGUGAUUUUUCUGAUUGCUUUGGAAGAAGAAUCUUGGCUUUACCCCUUUGGCUUUUCGGGGUAUACAUCUAAGAGGACUCGCAGUUUUGCCUACCCUGUCAAUUCACCUACUAGUUGCUGGUCAUUGUCCGUCUUUUUAUUGGGAGGACUUGCAACGUUUGCCGUAAGCCAUAGUCGGUGUGGCUUACGGUUUAAUUUUCCGGGAGAGUUCAUGGGAGGAGUUGAUAUGAAAAUAGAGAGGAGAUUGAAGCGAUUCUUUGACUGCCUUGGCGGUAACACAUUUUCACCUGUUCUUUUGCGUUUGCAGAGCAGUAUGUACCGUGAAACAUUGUAAAUGAGUAAGAUAGUGAAGUGGCCCCUUUUCUUUUUCUCCA